GAUGAACGCUGGCGGCGUGCCUAAUACAUGCCAGUCGAGCGAACGGACGAGAAGCUUGCUUCUCUGAUGUUAGCGGCGGACGGGUGAGUAACACGUGGAUAACCUACCUAUAAGACUGGGAUAACUUCGGGAAACCGGAGCUAAUACCGGAUAAUAUUCUGAACCGCAUGGUUCAAAAGUGAAAGACGGUCUUGCUGUCACUUAUAGAUGGAUCCGCGCUGCAUUAGCUAGUUGGCAAGGUAACGGCUUACCAAGGCAACGAUGCAUAGCCGACCUGAGAGGGUGAUCGGCCACACUGGAACUGAGACACGGUCCAGACUCCUACGGGAGGCAGCAGUAGGGAAUCUUCCGCAAUGGGCGAAAGCCUGACGGAGCAACGCCGCGUGAGUGAUGAAGGUCUUCGGAUCGUAAAACUCUGUUAUUAGGGAAGAACAUAUGUGUAAGUAACUGUGCACAUCUUGACGGUACCUAAUCAGAAAGCCACGGCUAACUACGUG
rnacentral:rRNA from 1 species